rnacentral:rRNA from 1 species
UUCUGGCUCAGGACGAACGCUGGCGGCGUGCCUAACACAUGCAAGUCGAGCGAGGAGAUCCUCGGGAUGAUCCUAGCGGCGGACGGGUGAGUAACACGUGGGCAACCUGCCUCAUAGAGAGGAAUAGCCUUCCGAAAGGGAGAUUAAUACCUCAUAACAUUGCAGUUUCGCAUGGAACAGCAAUUAAAGGAGCAAUCCGCUAUGAGAUGGGCCCGCGGCGCAUUAGCUAGUUGGUGAGGUAACGGCUCACCAAGGCGACGAUGCGUAGCCGACCUGAGAGGGUGAUCGGCCACAUUGGGACUGAGACACGGCCCAGACUCCUACGGGAGGCAGCAGUGGGGAAUAUUGCACAAUGGGGGAAACCCUGAUGCCAGCAACGCCGCGUGAGUGAUGACGGCCUUCGGGUUGUAAAGCUCUGUCUUCAGGGACGAUAAUGACGGUACCUGAGGAGGAAGCCACGGCUAACUACGUGCCAGCCGCCGC